UGAUUACUCCCUCCAUCCGAAAAUACUUGUGAAAGAAAUGGAUGUAUCUAGACGUAUUUAAGUUCUAGAUACAUCUAUUUUUAUCCAUUUGCGGAACAAGUAAUUAUGGGCGGAGGGAGUAUUAG
rfam:Hordeum vulgare subsp. vulgare, WGS project CAJW01000000 data, contig: morex_contig_51311